AAAAUGCGAUAAGUAAUGUGAAUUGCAGAAUUUCGUGAAUCAUCAAAUCUUUGAACGCACAUUGCGCCUUCUGGUAAUCCGGGAGGCAUGCCUGUCUGAGCGUCAUUACACCAUUCAAACCUUAUGCUUUUUGCUUAGUGGUUUGGUUUUGGAAGUAGGCGAAAUUGGAUUUUUUUUUAAAUCAAAUUGAGCCUCUUUUGUAAUGUAUUGACGAGUACCUAUUGUCUUAGUUGUCGCAAGAAAUUAUUUUUGUCAACUUCAAGAUAACAGAUAAAAUAAGUCUCCCUUUUUUUGUCCUACUAUUUUUUUUUUAGUAAGACUCUCAAAAGUUUGACCUCAGAUCAGGUAGGAAUACCCGCUGAACUUAA
rnacentral:misc_RNA from 1 species